AUGGGCGCUGGGGAAGGAGAGGCAGCUGGGAGCAAGGAGAAGAGCAGCGGCGUCGCCCGGACGUCCCUGGACGGCCUGCGGGACAAGAACGUGAUGCAGCUCAAGAAGCUCAACAUGGCGCUCUUCCCCGUCCGCUACAACGACAAAUACUACCAGGACGCCAUCGCCUCCAAGGACUUCUCCAAGCUCGCUUACUAUAGUGAUAUAUGUGUUGGAGCAAUCGCUUGUCGCCUGGAGAAGAAGGAAGGAGGGGUCGUCCGUGUUUAUAUCAUGACUCUGGGUGUAUUGGCGCCCUACCGUGGUCUUGGUCUUGGAACAAAGCUGCUGAACCAUGUUUUUGAUCUCUGUGCGAAGCAGAACAUCUCGGAGAUAUACUUACACGUUCAGACAAACAACGACGAUGCCAUUGCUUUCUACAAGAAGUUUGGUUUCGAAAUAACAGAGACGAUACAUAAUUACUAUACGAACAUCACUCCGCCAGAUUGCUAUGUUCUUACCAAAUUUAUCGGCCAGGUUGCUACAAAGAAAUGA
rnacentral:rRNA from 1 species